rnacentral:lncRNA from 1 species
UAUUUUGCUGAGAUUAUAUAUACAUGAACUUUUUUUUUUCUUUUGUUUUAGGACGUGUAGAUGUCUGUUUUACCAGGACAAAAGGAAUACUGCCUAUUCGCAUUAUUUCCAAUAUAUUCAGAUUUCCUGUUUGCUUCCAGUCAUCCUCUAGCAUUGUGGAGAUUUCUGCAAAAAGAAGACUGUCUUGAAAUGACAGUCUCUGAUGAGAGUUUUCAAUAGUUCUUCAAGUGACACAAAGUGCUCCUAUGACAACCUUAGAAACUCCAACCCAUGCAGUUGUUCCUACAUAAGGAAUUUCCUUCUGUUGUGGUUUAACCUGGCGGGCAGGUAAGCACCACACAGCUGCUCACUCCCCUACCAGUGGGAGAAGGAGAGAAUCAGGAAAAAAAAAAAAAAAGGGUAAAAACUUGUGGGUUGAGAUAAAUACAGUUUAAUAGAUAAGACACAAAAAGAAGGGAAAUAAUAAUAAUAAUGAUAAAAGAAUAUACAAAGCAAGUGAUGCACAAGGCAGUUGCUCACCACCUGCUGACCAAUGUCCAACCCCUAUCUUGAGCAGUGCCCUCCCCAGUUUUAUUGUUCAGAAUGACACCAUGCAGUAUGGAAUAUCUGGUCAGUUUAGGUCAGCUGUCCAGGCUCUGUCCCUUCCCAUCUCUUGGUGCACCUCCAUCCUCCUUGUUGGCAGGGCGGUGCGAGAAGUUGUAAAGUCCUUGGCUCUGUGUAAGAACUACUCUGCAACAAUUUAAACAUCAGUCUGUUAUCAGCAUUUUC